UGAGGAAUAUUGGUCAAUGGGCGGGAGCCUGAACCAGCCAAGCCGCGUGAAGGAAGACGGCCCUACGGGUUGUAAACUUCUUUUGUUGCAGGACAACACCCCGGACGCGUCAGGGCAUGAGUGUAUGCAAAGAAAAAGCAUCGGCUAACUCCGUGCC
rnacentral:rRNA from 1 species